AAACUGGAGAGUUUGAUCCUGGCUCAGAACGAACGCUGGCGGCGUGCCUAACACAUGCAAGUCGAACGGAAUUAAGGGGCUUGCCCUUUAAUUUAGUGGCGCACGGGUGAGUAACGCGUAGAUAAUCUGCCUGAUGAUUUGGGAUAACACUUCGAAAGAGGUGCUAAUACCGGAUAAGCCCACGGAGUCUUUGGACUCUGCGGGAAAAGGGGGGGACCUUUAUCGGCCUUCUGUCAUCAGAUGAGUCUGCGUACCAUUAGCUAGUUGGUAGGGUAAUGGCCUACCAAGGCUACGAUGGUUAGCUGGUUUGAGAGAAUGAUCAGCCACACUGGAACUGAGACACGGUCCAGACUCCUACGGGAGGCAGCAGUGGGGAAUUUUGCGCAAUGGGCGAAAGCCUGACGCAGCAACGCCGCGU
rnacentral:rRNA from 1 species